CCCGCCCUGCCCGCACUGGCACGGGGUCGCUCUGAAGGCGGGAAGCGCCGGGCUCCUCCUCCUGCUGGUGACGGUCACAGGGCUCGGUGUUUGGGCUUUUCAGGGCUCCCCGAGUAAAGAGGCAGAGGGAUCAGCCCAGACGGGCGAUGGUGUCACACCGAGCACCAGUAGCGGAAGAGCACACAACGCCAACCUGGAGGACUUGGUUUCUCGUCUGAAGCAGAGCGUGUGUGAUCCAGCCCAGAUAAACUCAACAGGGGGCGCCGGGUGCAAACUCUGCCCCAGGGACUGGUGGCUGCAGGGGGACA